rnacentral:rRNA from 1 species
GCUGGUUUUCCAGGCAAAUCCGGAAAAUCAAGGCUGAGGCGUGAUGACGAGGCACUACGGUGCUGAAGCAACAAAUGCCCUGCUUCCAGGAAAAGCCUCUAAGCAUCAGGUAACAUCAAAUCGUACCCCAAACCGACACAGGUGGUCAGGUAGAGAAUACCAAGGCGCUUGAGAGAACUCGGGUGAAGGAACUAGGCAAAAUGGUGCCGUAACUUCGGGAGAAGGCACGCUGAUAUGUAGGUGAAGCGACUUGCUCGUGGAGCUGAAAUCAGUCGAAGAUACCAGCUGGCUGCAACUGUUUAUUAAAAACACAGCACUGUGCAAACACGAAAGUGGACGUAUACGGUGUGACGCCUGCCCGGUGCCGGAAGGUUAAUUGAUGGGGUCAGCGCAAGCGAAGCUCUUGAUCGAAGCCCCGGUAAACGGCGGCCGUAACGAUAACGGUCCUAAGGUAGCGAAAUUCCUUGUCGGGUAAGUUCCGACCUGCACGAAUGGCGUAAUGAUGGCCAGGCUGUCUCCACCCGAGACUCAGUGAAAUUGAACUCGCUGUGAAGAUGCAGUGUACCCGCGGCAAGACGGAAAGACCCCGUGAACCUUUACUAUAGCUUGACGCUGAACAUUGAGCCUUGAUGUGUAGGAUAGGUGGGAGGCUUUGAAGUGUGGACGCCAGUCUGCAUGGAGCCGACCUUGAAAUACCACCCUUUAAUGUUUGAUGUUCUAACGUGGACCCGUGAUCCGGGUUGCGGACAGUGUCUGGUGGGUAGUUUGACUGGGGCGGUCUCCUCCUAAAGAGUAACGGAGGAGCACGAAGGUUGGCUAAUCCUGGUCGGACAUCAGGAGGUUAGUGCAAUGGCAUAAGCCAGCUUGACUGCGAGCGUGACGGCGCGAGCAGGUGCGAAAGCAGGUCAUAGUGAUCCGGUGGUUCUGAAUGGAAGGGCCAUCGCUCAACGGAUAAAAGGUACUCCCGGGAUAACAGGCUGAUACCGCCCAAGAGUUCAUAUCGACGGCGGUGUUUGGCACCUCGAUGUCGGCUCAUCACAUCCUGGAGCUGAAGUAGGUCCCAAGGGUAUGGCUGUUCGCCAUUUAAAGUGGUACGCGAGCUGGGUUUAGAACGUCGUGAGACAGUUCGGUCCCUAUCUGCCGUGGGCGCUGGAGAACUGAGGGGGGCUGCUCCUAGUACGAGAGGACCGGAGUGGACGCAUCACUGGUGUUCGGGUUGUCAUGCCAAUGGCACUGCCCGGUAGCUAAAUGCGGAAGAGAUAAGUGCUGAAAGCAUCUAAGCACGAAACUUGCCCCGAGAUGAGUUCUCCCUGACUCCUUGAGAGUCCUGAAGGAACGUUGAAGACGACGACGUUGAUAGGCCGGGUGUGUAAGCGCAGCGAUGCGUUGAGCUAACCGGUACUAAUGAACCGUGAGGCUUAACCUC